AUGCAAGCCGAGCGGUAUUUGUCUUUCGGGACAGAGAGAGCGGCGUACGGGUGCGGAACACGUGUGCAACCUACCUUUAUCAGGGGGAUAGCCUUUCGAAAGGAAGAUUAAUACCCCAUAAUAUAUUAAGCGGCAUCGCUUGAUAUUGAAAACUCCGGUGGAUAGAGAUGGGCACGCGCAAGAUUAGAUAGUUGGUAGGGUAACGGCCUACCAAGUCAAUGAUCUUUAGGGGGCCUGAGAGGGUGAUCCCCCACACUGGUACUGAGACACGGACCAGACUCCUACGGGAGGCAGCAGUGAGGAAUAUUGGACAAUGGGUGAGAGCCUGAUCCAGCCAUCCCGCGUGAAGGACGACGGCCCUAUGGGUUGUAAACUUCUUUUGUAUAGGGAUAAACCUACUCUCGUGAGAGUAGCUGAAGGUACUAUACGAAUAAGCACCGGCUAACUCCGUGCCAGCAGCCGCGGUAAUACGGAGGGUGCAAGCGUUAUCCGGAUUUAUUGGGUUUAAAGGGUCCGUAGGCGGAUCUGUAAGUCAGUGGUGAAAUCUCAUAGCUUAACUAUGAAACUGCCAUUGAUACUGCAGGUCUUGAGUAAAGUAGAAGUGGCUGGAAUAAGUAGUGUAGCGGUGAAAUGCAUAGAUAUUACUUAGAACACCAAUUGCGAAGGCAGGUCACUAUGUUUUAACUGACGCUGAUGGACGAAAGCGUGGGGAGCGAACAGGAUUAGAUACCCUGGUAGUCCACGCCGUAAACGAUGCUAACUCGUUUUUGGGUCUUCGGAUUCAGAGACUAAGCGAAAGUGAUAAGUUAGCCACCUGGGGAGUACGUUCGCAAGAAUGAAACUCAAAGGAAUUGACGGGGGCCCGCACAAGCGGUGGAUUAUGUGGUUUAAUUCGAUGAUACGCGAGGAACCUUACCAAGGCUUAAAUGGGAAUUGACAGGUUUAGAAAUAGACUUUUCUUCGGACAAUUUUCAAGGUGCUGCAUGGUUGUCGUCAGCUCGUGCCGUGAGGUGUUAGGUUAAGUCCUGCAACGAGCGCAACCCCUGUCACUAGUUGCCAUCAUUAAGUUGGGGACUCUAGUGAGACUGCCUACGCAAGUAGAGAGGAAGGUGGGGAUGACGUCAAAUCAUCACGGCCCUUACGCCUUGGGCCACACACGUAAUACAAUGGCCAGUACAGAGGGCAGCUACCUAGCGAUAGGAUGCGAAUCUCGAAAGCUGGUCUCAGUUCGGAUUGGAGUCUGCAACUCGACUCUAUGAAGCUGGAAUCGCUAGUAAUCGCAUAUCAGCCAUGAUGCGGUGAAUACGUUCCCGGGCCUUGUACACACCGCCCGUCAAGCCAUGGAAGUUUGGGGUACCUGAAGUCGGUGACC
rnacentral:rRNA from 1 species